CUCAAUUCAUAAUCUUUCUGCUCUCGCGCUCUGGGUGCUAGGCCUACAGGAAUAUGCUGUCAUGUCUGGCUUUUUCAUUAGGUCAUCAGGUUGUAGAUUCGAUGGAGUCACAAGGAUUGACCCACCUUAAUGGCUGCCCAGUACAGGAGGAAGGGCAGCUACGAGAUUCUGCAGAGGGGAACUGAUUCAUUUUGCAUCAACUCAUAUGCCAUAUAUGCCAAUGACUCCUUCCACUAGCAAAUGCUGAAACAUCACCUUUUACUUUGUCCCCUGUCUCCUCUGGCCACCUCCUUUGGCUUUCUGAGACAGGGUUUCCCUGUGUAGCCCUGGCUGUCCUGGAACUCGCUCUGUAGACCAGACUGACCUCAAACUCAGAGGUUUGUAUACCUUUGCCUCUCAAGUGCGGUGAGUAAAGGUGUGCGCCACCACACCUAGGUCAUCACCUUUUCUAUUUCCUUUAUUGUCUUCUUUUAAUCUCUCUACAUGGAAAGAGGGUGAUGUUGGUGAGGUUGUUUAAUUUGGGGCUUCAGAAGAUGGUCCAGGUGAAAUGGACACACCAUACUCCAUUUCUCUGGUACUCUUUGCAGGGUUGCUGUUGCUCUCAAAGCCUGUUGCAGCAGAGUUAAUUUCCUGACCCAAAGACACCUCUUUUGCAUCGUCCCUGGAGUCUGCGAUGCUACCCUGGCCCCCUCCAAAUGCCAGCUGUUGCCCAGCAUUCUUUUGUGAACCUGUUCGCAUCCUUCAAACCAGCUGCAAGUGUCUUGCUCAUCUCUGAAUCACUGCUGGGAGAUCUUCCCCUGAAGGACAGCCUCCACACAGCACAGUAUCCUCACUGCCAAGUGCUCUUCGGGUGUCCGUCUCUGCCAUCAGUAUUUUUAGCAUAUGGCCUUUGGAGCCCGAAGAACAACGUCCACCUCCCAGAACUGGUCCUCCAGCUGACAGAUAGGACUGCAUGAAAGAGGGCACUUCAGGUAGGUCUGACAGGCGAGAGCCUGUUCUGCUGCCGAUCUGUUGGAGGAGAUGAAGUCAGACUGCCAGUGUUACAGAAAGCCUGUCUCUUGCCUCUCUCUUUGGCAGCAGAGGCCAACCGAGUCGGUGCAAAUCAGAUGCUAACGGCAACCCCUCCGCCCAGAAAUCCCAAGUGGAAGGACACCUCUCGUGAAAUUGCCUUCCGUGACAGUUACAGACAGCCUGAAGGGAAUACCUGUCCAGGUGAUACGGGACAAGAAAAACACCACGAUGUAAGCAUCGUUUCUACAGAUCUCACAACAGGCCCCAAGCCAACCCCGUUGGGAUUCGUAUCAUGCUUUGUUGCACCAGAUGAAGUCUGAUCUGGGACCGUGCCAGAAAACACGGAAGGAAGAUGAGAAAGGGUGAAGAGCUUCUAAAUUAGAUUCUGCUGGGGCCAGGAAAGCAGACACGACUGCCGUGGAGAAGGUCAAUGCAAGCAUUUUAAAAUCGUGUCUUCCUUUUCAUGAUAAUCAAACAUUAAAAUGAG
rnacentral:lncRNA from 1 species